CCUACGGGAGGCAGCAGUGAGGAAUAUUGGUCAAUGGGCGAGAGCCUGAACCAGCCAAGUCGCGUGAGGGAGUACUGCCCUAUGGGUUGUAAACCUCUUUUGUCGGGGAGCAAAAGCCGGACGUGUCCGGCUGUGAGAGUACCCGAAGAAAAAGCAUCGGCUAACUCCGUGCCAGCCGCCGCGGUAAUACGGAGGAUGCGAGCGUUAUCCGGAUUUAUUGGGUUUAAAGGGUGCGCAGGCGGAUUUUUAAGUCAGCGGUCAAAUCGUGGGGCUCAACCCAAUCCAGCCGUUGAAACUGGGGAUCUAGAGUGUGCGAGAGGUAUGCGGAAUGCGUGGUGUAGCGGUGAAAUGCAUAGAUAUCACGCAGAACCCCGAUUGCGAAGGCAGCAUACCGGUGCACAACUGACGCUGAGGCACGAAGGCCAGGGGAGCGAAAGGGAUUAGAUACCCCAGUAGUC
rnacentral:rRNA from 1 species